rnacentral:rRNA from 1 species
UACAGAGGUCUCAAGCGUUGUUCGGAUUCAUUGGGCGUAAAGGGUGUGUAGGUGGCGCCGUAAGUCGGGUGUGAAAUUUCGGAGCUUAACUCCGAAACUGCAUUCGAUACUGCGGUGCUUGAGGACUGGAGAGGAGACUGGAAUUCAUGGUGUAGCAGUGAAAUGCGUAGAGAUCAUGAGGAAGACCAGUGGCGAAGGCGGGUCUCUGGACAGUUCCUGACGCUGAGGCGCGAAGGCCAGGGGAGCAAACGGG